CUGACAUGUUACAGCGUGCACCUUACAAAAGACUUCAGCACUUAACUUACUAGUUUCGAUGCACUACUCUUCAUGUCUUCUACCUGAUUUAUGGCAGUAUUUUCAAUAUCAGAAUCAUUUAAAUAUAAAAAAGUACAUUACUGGUUGUUUAGCUUUCCUCCCUAGUUGUUUCCUGUUUAUAAUUCUCCAACAUUUUGUGGGUUUAAGACCGCGGCUGAACUCUAAAAGGGACUUUUGUCUGUUCCUGUCUCACUGCUCGAUGAACACAUUACCUCACAAUUAUAUAAUGGGGGGGAAAAAAGGGAAAACAUCUGUGUGCAGCUGAGGAAUGCUGGGUUGGCUUCUGUGGUUUCCCCCAAGGAGGAUGUGUUGAGAAAUGUGGACCGGGAGUAUUUGUUGUGUUUGGAAGAAAGACAUGUUAGUCAGUUAGACGGACCAUUUAAAUACCAAAGUUUUAGCCCUUAAAAAAACAAAUGUAAAGGUAUCAUACUAUACAAAAUACAAUAAAAGUCCAUCCUCUUUAUCUUCUGUCUGCUCCACUUUUCAUAAAAUCUGGUAACCCUUUGUUCUGCCCUCUGAGUCUGCCUUCUCACCGUAAACAAUACGGCAUGGUGCAAGAAAGUCAGAGCAACCCAAGCCCUCCCAGAGAGGGGGCGGGGUCAGACGGCUAAAGGCCCUGACACACCAAGGAGAUCGGCGGUCAGUGAGAGGAAUCUCUCUGAUUGGCUCUUAGGAGGUUUCAAAUUACUCCAGCUUUCAACACUGGUUCGGGAAAGCUCUUGAGCAUGCCGCUGUAGUCUCCAUGCUUUCACCCAUUAGUGCGGUUUCUCCUUAUUUGUCACCUCUGCCUAUUCUUUUCUUUUUCCAUUAAAAGACCAAGGGCCGACAACGCCAGCGCCAUUUUCUACUUUUUAUUUAUUUAUUUAUGUGUUUGUUUAUUUAACAUGGACAUACAGUAACAUUGGUGCUGUAACAUUUAACCAUGCACAAGUUCCAGAUGCACUGCUCUUAUGCAGCAGCUGCGGAACGUGGCUAAGCAGCAGGCUGUGCAGUUCGAUUUGUG